rnacentral:rRNA from 1 species
CCUACGGGAGGCAGCAGUGAGGAAUAUUGGUCAAUGGUCGGGAGACUGAACCAGCCAAGCCGCGUGAGGGAGGAAGGUACAGAGUAUCGUAAACUUCUUUUGUCAGGGAACAAAGACUGGGACGCGUCCCCGGAUGAGUGUAUCUGAAGAAAAAGCAUCGGCUAAAACUGCGCAAGAAGCCGCGGUAAUAUGGAGGAUGCGAGCGUUAUCCGGAUUUUUUGGGUUAAAGGGGUGCGCGGGCGGUCUGUUAAGUAAGCGGUCAAAGCCCGGGGUGCACCUCCGGACCGCCGUUGAAACUGGCAGUCUCGAGUUGGAGAGAGGUAUGCGGAAUGCGCGGUGUAGCGGUGAAAUGCAUAGAUAUCGCGCAGAACUCCGAUUGCGAAGGCAGCAUGCCGGCUCCACACUGACGCUGAGGCACGAAAGCGUGGGUAUCGAACAGGAUUAGAUACCCUGGUAGUC